UCCCUGGUGGUCCAGUGGUUAGUACUCAGCACUUUCACUGCCAAGAGCCUGGGUUCAAUUCCUGGUCAGGGUG
rnacentral:tRNA from 1 species